rnacentral:lncRNA from 1 species
GUGUGCAAGGAAUUUAACAUAGUGUAUUUACAAUUUGUCAAGACUAGAAUUCAUCCAUUUCAUUCUCAUGCAUUCACAACAUCUCAAUUCCAUCCAAUAAGUAUUCAAUUUCAAUUNUAGGUUCAAUCAUAUUUCUCAAUACUUCAAGAACCACAAUUCAUGCCAUGGGUGAUCAAGCCACAACAAGCAUUAAGCAUAGAAAUCAAAUACUAACAUGAAUUAGAAAAGCGUAUAUCAUUAACAUCACAUAAUACAUAAGAAUUUCAUGUUUUACAACUAAUCUCAACAAAUAGGAAAAGCCCUCCAUGGAGGAGAACUUAGGGUUCUACAAAUUGAAGAGAUAAGGAAGAAAUUGGAACCAAAGAGAAGAUGCAAAGCCUUUCCCAAGGUUCUUGGCAGCUGCUCCAUGCUCCAUUUGCGCCUCCCCUUCGCAUCUCCAUCUCCAAUUUGUGACCCAUCUUCUUCCUCAACCCAAAAGGGGCAAAAUCACCAUUGAAGAAGCUUGAAGACCCAAGGAGGAGUGGGAGAGCUUCCCAACACCCCAAAUAGCCUCCAAGGGCCUCUCCCAAUCUCUCUAGGUGAAGAAUGAAGUGUAGAAGGAGAAGAAUGCCCAAAAAUCGCGAGACCCAUGUUUAAAUAACCUAAUUUUGACACAUCAGCGGAAAAUCGCGCCCAGCGCCCCCUUCUGGGGCGCCCAGGCGCCAUAAAAACACAAAACAACGAGUCAAAGGGCGCCCAGGCGCCAAAUCUGCAGAAAAACAGCAACCAGGGGCGCCCAGGCGCCAUAUCUGCAGCCAGGGGUGCCCCAGCCCGAGCAGCUCUGACAGCAUUCAAAAAUUCAGGCUCUUGCGCGAUUCCAA